AGCGCGCCCCGACCUGAGUGGAGCUCUUUUUCUGUUAUUGCGAUUAUACAAAAGUUCUACAGAUUACUUCACUUCUUUCGCAAUGGCAGAAAAAAGCGGGAACGGAGGGCGGAUAAAGGC
rnacentral:sRNA from 1 species